GACGAACGCUGGCGGCGUGCUUAACACAUGCAAGUCGAACGGAAAGGCCCUGCUUUUGUGGGGUGCUCGAGUGGCGAACGGGUGAGUAACACGUGAGUAACCUGCCCUUGACUUUGGGAUAACUUCAGGAAACUGGGGCUCAUACCGGAUAGGAGCUCCUGCUGCAUGGUGGGCGUUGGAAAGUUUCGGCGGUUGGGGAUGUACUCGCGGCUUAUCAGCUUGUUGGUGGGGUAGUGGCUUACCAAGGCUUUGACGGGUAGCCGGCCUGAGAGGGUGACCGGCCACAUUGGGCCUGAGAUACGGCCCAGACUCCUACGGGAGGCAGAAGUGGGGAAUAUUGCACAAUGGGCGGAAGCCUGAUGCAGCAACGCCGCGUGCGGGAUGACGGCCUUCGGGUUGUAAACCGCUUUCGCCUGUGACGAAGCGUGAGUGACGGUAAUGGGUAAAGAAGCACCGGCUAACUACGUG
rnacentral:rRNA from 1 species